rnacentral:rRNA from 1 species
CUAUGCGCCUUGCCCAGCCCGCUCAGAAACUCAAAGGAAUUGACGGGGACCCGCACAAGCAGCGGAGCAUGUGGUUUAAUUCGAAGCAACGCGAAGAACCUUACCAGGGCUUGACAUCCCUCUGACCGGCCGGUAAUGCGGCCUUCCCUUCGGGGCAGAGGUGACAGGUGGUGCAUGGUUGUCGUCAGCUCGUGUCGUGAGAUGUUGGGUUAAGUCCCGCAACGAGCGCAACCCUUGUCAUUAGUUGCUACGAAAGGGCACUCUAAUGGGACUGCCGGUGACAAACCGGAGGAAGGUGGGGAUGACGUCAAGUCCUCAUGGCCCUUAUAGGUGGGGCUACACACGUCAUACAAUGGCUGGUACAGAGGGUUGCCAACCCGCGAGGGGGAGCUAAUCCCAUAAAGCCAGUCGUAGUCCGGAUCGCAGUCUGCAACUCGACUGCGUGAAGUCGGAAUCGCUAGUAAUCGCGGAUCAGAAUGUCACGGUGAAUACGUUCCCGGGCCUU